CAAUAGCGUAUAUUUAAGUUGCUGCAGUUAAAAAGCUCGUAGUUGGAUUUCGGGUGGGAAUGGCCGGUCCGCCGUUUCGGUGUGCACUUGCUACGCCCACCUUGCUGCCGGGGACGUGCUCUUGAGUUCACGCUCGGGACACGGAGUCGGCGAGGUUACUUUGAGUAAAUUAGAGUGUUCAAAGCAGGCCUACGCUCUGAAUACAUUAGCAUGGAAUAACACGAUAGGACUCUGGCCUAUCUUGUUGGUCUGUAGGACCGGAGUAAUGAUUAAGAGGGGCAGUCGGGGGCAUUCGUAUUUCAUUGUCAGAGGUGAAAUUCUUGGAUUUAUGAAAGACGAACUACUGCGAAAGCAUUUGCCAAGGAUGUUUUCAUUAA
rnacentral:rRNA from 1 species